rnacentral:rRNA from 1 species
AGUGAACGCUGGCGGUAGGCCUAACACAUGCAAGUCGAACGGCAGCACAGAGGAGCUUGCUCCUUGGGUGGCGAGUGGCGGACGGGUGAGGAAUACAUCGGAAUCUACUCUGUCGUGGGGGAUAACGUAGGGAAACUUACGCUAAUACCGCAUACGACCUACGGGUGAAAACAGGGGAUCUUCGGACCUUGCGCGAUUGAAUGAGCCGAUGUCGGAUUAGCUAGUUGGCGGGGUAAAGGCCCACCAAGGCGACGAUCCGUAGCUGGUCUGAGAGGAUGAUCAGCCACACUGGAACUGAGACACGGUCCAGACUCCUACGGGAGGCAGCAGUGGGGAAUAUUGGACAAUGGGCGCAAGCCUGAUCCAGCCAUACCGCGUGGGUGAAGAAGGCCUUCGGGUUGUAAAGCCCUUUUGUUGGGAAAGAAAUCCAUCUGGUUAAUACCCGGGUGGGAUGACGGUACCAAAAGAAUAAGCACCGGCUAACUUCGUGCCAGCCGCCGCGGUAA